AACACGUGAGCAAUCUGCCCUUGACUCUGGGAUAAGCGUUGGAAACGACGUCUAAUACCGGAUACGACCUUGGAAGGCAUCUUCUGGGGUGGAAAGAAUUUUGGUCAAGGAUGAGCUCGCGGCCUAUCAGCUAGUUGGUGAGGUAAUGGCUCACCAAGGCGACGACGGGUAGCCGGCCUGAGAGGGUGACCGGCCACACUGGGACUGAGACACGGCCCAGACUCCUACGGGAGGCAGCAGUGGGGAAUAUUGCACAAUGGGCGAAAGCCUGAUGCAGCAACGCCGCGUGAGGGACGACGGCCUUCGGGUUGUAAACCUCUUUUAGUAGGGAAGAAGCGUAAAAGUGACGGUACCUGCAGAAAAAGCACCGGCUAACUACGUGCCAGCAGCCGCGGUAAUACGUAGGGUGCAAGCGUUGUCCGGAAUUAUUGGACGUAAAGAGCUCGUAGGCGG
rnacentral:rRNA from 1 species